UACGGGGGGGUGCGAGCGUUGUCCGGAAUCACUGGGCGUAAAGGGCGCGUAGGUGGCUUUGUAAGUUUGCGGUGAAAGCCCGGGGCUCAACCCCGGGUCUGCCGUGGAUACUGCAAGGCUUGAGUACUGUAGAGGCAGGUAGAAUAUCGGGUGUAGCGGUGGAAUGCGUAGAGAUCCGAUAGAAGACCGGUGGCGAAGGCGGCCUGCUGGGCAGUAACUGACACUGAGGCGCGACAGCGUGGGGGAGCAAACAGG
rnacentral:rRNA from 1 species